rnacentral:tRNA from 1 species
GGGGUUGUGGCUCAGAGGUGGACCACUUGCCUAGCAUGCAUGAGGCACUGGGUUUGAUCCUCAGCACCACA